ensembl:lncRNA
CGUAGGUGUACGCUGAUUGGGGCAGCAUGUGAAGAGGGAAAAAUCCCGGAAGCUACGGAAGCUCCCGUAGACCAAAAAAUCUGCUGCGCCAUCAAGCCGGUCCGAAUGGAGACAGGUUUGUGUUCUCACCAGGAGUGAACCGAACUGGAGUUCACAUAGAAGCGGACCGAGACCACCUCCCGAAAGUGGUCUCGGUGCGGUUCGUUAGCCCGAACCAAAAAAAUCUGGUAUGCUUUCACAUCAGCCCAAACGAACCGUACUUGCAGGUGUUGCGGACUCCAGUCCGCUUUAAGCGGACUAAAAGACGUAGGUAUGAACGCACCCUUAAACACAUACAUGCACUUCCUUUCAAGCUGGAACCAAGUUUGUCAGCUAUUGUGUUUCACAUGAGCCACAUAGGGAUGUCACACAUAAAGGAUUCAACUGUAAAUACUGUCAUCGUUGGCAGACAAACUGAUGCUUUCCUACAUUCAUCCAAGAACGUGUCCAAGUUGACUUGUGACGUGCAUGCCUUUAAGACGCACAACUCUCCACAACAUAUAAAGCAAACUGAGCUGCCUCCAUCACAAAUAAAACCUCUUAUUGAAGUGACCGGUUUUAUUGGACGAGUAUCAGCAGUUACGUUCUGGACCACAUAAUUAUUUGAUUCACCCUUUUUGCCCAAACAUCCAUCAACACUUGGCCACUCCACGCUGAACUUGGAGACUUUCCCAACAUCACACAGUGUUUACCCCUCACUGCCCCUGACCCGGGCCUCUCAGCGUCACCUCCACGCUGACACCACGAGGCCGCCGACGGAGAUUCGCUCGCCACUCGUUUGACCCGGCGACCUCCACAGAGGGAAACCCCCUUCUGGAGCCAAUCCUGGACAGCCGACCGCACUGAGUCAGAGAGUCAGUCCUCACUGAGCUCACAGGGUCACAUUGUCCAUAAAGAAGAACCCAUUAAAGACACCAGUGUUGCCAAAUCAGCGCCCCCUCAUCUCCCAUCUGAUUUAUGAUGCCCCCCAACUGAGCUCCUCAUUUAAGACAAUACGAUCACUGCCAUCAUCAAACAAAACACCCCCUCCUGUGCUGUUCCCAGAUGUGUCAUCACACAUAAUAAUGGAGCAGUUAUCAGAAACUCAGCCUUUUGGUACAAAUCAAAAUGUGUCCUCAGCUACAUCUGGGGUGAAUCAGCCUCCGAAGUCUCAGCUGAAUGUAACAGAUCAGGAUGUGUCAUCGACCUCAUUAGCGGGUCAGCUGAUGAUGUCUGCACAAACUGAACUCGAGUCUUCGCUGUCAACAUCUCUGCUGUUCAGUCUGGAGCCCUCAGUGAUGACAUUAACUCCAGCUUUACCCUCUGAGUUUGGCAUUUUCAGUAGGCAGCAUGAGACACCUGAUAUCACAGAUCCAUUAUUUCCUGAACAGUCUCUCAAAGUCUCAUCAUCUCAGAUGCAGUUGCUUCAGGUGUUUUCCACACCUUCAUUUCCUGAUGUUGGUGUUUUUUCUUCGCAGCAGAAUCUUAAAGAUUUAAAGUCAGAAUCAAAGACAGAAGUAUAUUUGGAUUAAAAUGGACUAACACAGACAUUAAAU